rnacentral:rRNA from 1 species
CCUACGGGAGGCAGCAGUGAGGAAUAUUGGUCAAUGGGCGAGAGCCUGAACCAGCCAAGUCGCGUGAGGGAGUACUGCCCUAUGGGUUGUAAACCUCUUUUGUCGGGGAGCAAAAGCCGGACGUGUCCGGCUGUGAGAGUACCCGAAGAAAAAGCAUCGGCAAACUCCGUGCCAGCAGCCGCGGUAAUACGGAGGAUGCGAGCUUUAUCCGGAUUUAUUGGGUUUAAAGGGUGCGCAGGCGGAGUUUUAAGUUAGCGGUAAAAUCGUGGGGCGCAACCCCAUCCAGCCGUUGAAACUGGGGAUCUAGAGUGUGCGAGAGGUAUGCGGAAUGCGUGGUGUAGCGGUGAAAUGCAUAGAUAUCACGCAGAACCCCGAUUGCGAAGGCAGCAUACCGGUGCACAACUGACGCUCAGGCACGAAAGCGUGGGUAUCGAACAGGAUUAGAUACCCCGGUAGUC